CGUACCGCAAACCGACACAGGUAGUCAAGAUGAGAAUUCUAAGGUGAGCGAGCGAACUCUCGUUAAGGAACUCGGCAAAAUGACCCCGUAACUUCGGGAGAAGGGGUGCUCUUUAGGGUUAACGCCCAGAAGAGCCGCAGUGAAUAGGCCCAAGCGACUGUUUAUCAAAAACACAGGUCUCUGCUAAACCGUAAGGUGAUGUAUAGGGGCUGACGCCUGCCCGGUGCUGGAAGGUUAAGAGGAGUGGUUAGCUUCUGCGAAGCUACGAAUCGAAGCCCCAGUAAACGGCGGCCGUAACUAUAACGGUCCUAAGGUAGCGAAAUUCCUUGUCGGGUAAGUUCCGACCCGCACGAAAGGCGUAACGAUUUGGGCACUGUCUCAACGAGAGACUCGGUGAAAUCAUAGUACCUGUGAAGAUGCAGGUUACCCGCGACAGGACGGAAAGACCCCGUGGAGCUUUACUGUAGCCUGAUAUUGAAAUUCGGCACAGCUUGUACAGGAUAGGUAGGAGCCUUUGAAACGUGAGCGCUAGCUUACGUGGAGGCGCUGGUGGGAUACUACCCUAGCUGUGUUGGCUUUCUAACCCGCACCACUUAUCGUGGUGGGAGACAGUGUCAGGCGGGCAGUUUGACUGGGGCGGUCGCCUCCUAAAAGGUAACGGAGGCGCUCAAAGGUUCCCUCAGAAUGGUUGGAAAUCAUUCAUAGAGUGUAAAGGCAUAAGGGAGCUUGACUGCGAGACCUACAAGUCGAGCAGGGUCGAAAGACGGACUUAGUGAUCCGGUGGUUCCGCAUGGAAGGGCCAUCGCUCAACGGAUAAAAGCUACCCCGGGGAUAACAGGCUUAUCUCCCCCAAGA
rnacentral:rRNA from 1 species